rnacentral:rRNA from 1 species
UACGGAGGGGCUAGCGUUGUUCGGAAUGACUGGCGUAAAGCGCGCGUAGGCGGAUCGGAAAGUUGGGGUGAAAUCCCGGGCUCAACCCUGGAAUUGCCUUCAAACUCCCGGUCUUGAGUUCGAGAGAGGUGAGUGGAAUUCCGAGUGUAGAGGUGAAAUUCGUAGAUAUUCGGAGGAACACCAGUGGCGAAGGCGGCUCACUGGCUCGAUACUGACGCUGAGGUGCGAAAGCGUGGGGCGAACAGG